CCUUACUUUUUAAACUUCCUUAAAAUGGUGCUGAUGGUUAAUUUAAAUAUAAGAUCAUCCUUAUCAACGCUUUUAAACUGGUACCUAUGCAUUGAUAUUAUUUUUCUGCAAUCUUAAUUUAAUUUAAAUUAAUCGGAUGACUGGUGUUCCCAUAUAAUUUAUUUAUUGAUGCCCAUUGCCAGAAGUUGGCAAGUAUGCAUUCUAUUUUCCAGAGUUUUAACUAAUUUCUAGUCCCACUCUUUGUUAUUCAUUUACCGAGAACAGUUCUGCAGCAAGUCUCUGCAUCACGAAGCAUUCUGCUUCCCAAUCUCUUCCGAUUCGAGAACCGACCUUCUUAGGGCUAGAGAACAGAAAACGACUGACGUCGAUGGAACAGACACGAACCGAAUCUAACUCUCACUUACUAUCUUACAGAAACCGAAUGUCUAGAGCCGCCGAAGAGCUUCAAAGGCUGAAAGCUUUUAAAUCUCUUCCGAUCUGCUCGACCGAUUCCGAAAUGAUGAACCCAUGGCAUGCAGUAGAUUCGAUGAUCUACCGAACCGAUGCUAUGCAUGAACUGACGAUGAGCGAUAGAUUCGCCUAUCUACCGAACCGAUGAUAGGCGGCUGUCAUUUCCCGACUAAAUCCGUCGUCCAAGAUGGCGAUUCCCACCGCAAGUUUGAGUUUUGGUAGAAGAGAAAUUUAUGAAGUAUAGAUAGAGAAGCCUUUGGAAAUACAAAAGCCUACUUAGAAAAGCAGUUUGCACUUGUUGGCUAUGAAAAUGCUAUACUGCAGACUUUGGGUUUUUUAGGUCUACUUGUUGAACAUCCACACAUUCAUGUGAUUAAAACAUGCAACCUCCUGAAAACAAGCAAGGACAUCGCACAUGUUGCUUACCUCUUGGCGUCUGCUAGUUUGACUCUGACUACCAUGUGCCUGCGAUACCAGCCGACGUUAGUGGCCUGUGUGUGCAUCCAUAUAGCUUGUGAGUGGUCGGCUUGGAAA